CCUUGGCAUGUGUUUCACGACUUUCCAGUGGGCACGUGUGCGUGGCAAUGAGGACCAGAAAGAAAAGAUGGAGAGACCUGAUCCCUGCCAGCAAGGUGUACGCAGUGUCGUGGACAGAGGAGCAAGUUCUCAACAAAUAGAAAAUGAGAGUCUCUUGCUGUUAGGAUUCAGCUGGGAACGUGUUGCUCAGCAGCUCUGCACUCCUCUCACAGAACCUAGUAGAACAAAAAAAAAACAAACAAAAAAAACCUAGUAGAACAUGUUUAAAACAAAAUUAACCUGGCUUUUGUUGUUGUGAUUUUCUUGGUUAGAAAGGGGCCAGAGGUCAUUAAAAGCCAUCCUAUAUAGCACCGAAAGCAGAACUACAGGCUCAGGAAAAAGAACAUAAUCAUCUGUGGCUAUUAUGGAUGGCUUACUGUGGACCAGCCAUGGCCCUGAGCCUGGUGAAAACAGGGAGGAGACACCCUAGUGGCAGCUGUUCAGGAAGGAGGGACGUGCAAUGUUGCAGCUCUGGGGAGAUAAACAGCAGCUCCUGCCCUUCGCUGGAGAAACGUAUGCUGUAAGCCAUUUAUAUGUAGGUCGGGAAAAUAAACAUCUGGCAAAUCUAUUUCCUCUGAUAUCACAAGUAUCUCAAACACCCAAGCCUGUGCUUAAUCCAAUUUCCUUCAGGCCAAGCUGUAUUUUCUACCUUCAGUUUCCAUGAAAUUCUCCUACAUCCUUUCCCUAAGCCGCCUUUACGUCUUUUGAGUGGGUUUCUGUUUCUUGUAAUCAAUCCCUGACUCUCAUCAAAGGGCAAGGCUUGGCCCAUCCCCUCAUGGAGACUUUUACACGCUGGAACAAAUGAAUUCACAUCAACCAUGGUGCCAACUGCACGCUCUUGUCAAGGAAAGAGGCAGAAGACUUUGGACAAAUUACCAAACGUAACCCAGCCUUGGUUUCCUCACCUAUAAUAUGGGAUUGAGAAUAUCUCCCUGGCAGGGUAGUUAUAGGUGUUUGAGCCAGUGGCUGUGAGGCUGGCACGGCCUGUGGCCCUGCGUGGGAAGCGGGGGCUGGGAGGAAAUCCUGGGUGAAAGUACGAGUGCAGGCUCAGAGCAGAGGUCCCUGAGACUCUCCUGCACUUGCAACAUGGGAGGCAUCUUGAAAUACAGACGUCAUGCCCUCUCCUGAAACCACUAAAUCUGUCUUUGAGGGACUAGUUAGGAGUGUGACCUGAGUGAGCCCCGCCUGGAUUACGUCACUUAGCUAAUCUAAGAACAGUCUCGCUGGAGUUCAAGAAUUAGAACUCCAGAAAAGAAAAAGAAUCAAGGUUUGUGGGUGAAGAUAGCAGGCCCGAGGGAUAGCCAGCUGGUCAGAAUCAGUGGGCCAAAUACUGAAGUAUCCAUGCUAUUUAUUUUUGUUGCUUAGAUUUUGGGCUCCACUGUUUUGUGCUUCUGCUCUAUUCGUUCAAGCUUUAUGCUCUCGUUUGUUUUCAAAAAUACGUGCACUAGGGCGCUUGGGUAGCUCAGCUGGUUAGGCAUCUGACCCACGAUUUCAGCUCAGGUUAGGAUCUCAGGAUUGUGAAAUUGAGCCCCCUGUUAGGCUCUGGGAUGGGCGCGGAACCUGCUUAGGAUUCUCUCUCCCCUUUGCCCUUCCACCCCCGCUCUAAAACAAAAACCAAAACAACAAACACCCCAUGCACUUAAAAAAAAAAAAAAUUUUUUAUUAAGCUCUAGGCUCAAUGUGGGGCUUGAACUCAGGACCCUGAUAUCAAGAGUCAUAUACUCUUCUGACUGAGCCCACCAGGUAGCGUCAAAAUACAUACACUUUUGAGUAAGUUUAGGGCAACUGAAUGGUAAAACUCACUAGUCCAAUGUAGGUAAAAUAUGCAUGUUAGGAGAUCAUAGUUAAAAGAAAAAUAAGCAAGCAAAACUUGGAAUUUUCCCUGAAUAUAUCAACAUUUUACCUGAACUAUCAAAAUAUUCAGAUGAAAAUGAAGACCAGUUAACAAUGUUGUGAUGAGCACUGGGGGUAGCAAGUGAUGACUCACUAAAUACUACAUCCGAAAGCAGUUUUACCCCAUAUGUUAACUAUUUAGAAUUUAAAUAAAACCUUGAAACAAACAACCCCCCCCAACAUUGUGAUGAUCAUAAAGUGUGUGAGUAGCUGAUACCAACUUCUCUGUUGCAGGGAGCGUCUCUGGAAGGCUUGUUACAGCCCAGGCACUGCUCUGAGAGCCUCUUACCGUGACCCCCAUCUUGCGUGUUAGGAAACUGUAGCGUAGAAAGGUGAAGUAAUCGUCCUGAGGUCACACAGCUGAUGAGUGACACAGGUCAGAUGUGCUUGCUGUGCUCCUUGUCACUGUGCUGAGUGCCACUCCCCCUUAGUACAAAAGCUACAAAGGGCAGGUCAGCAGUAGAAUCUCCAUCCAGGUGUGGGAGGCCGUGGUAGGUAGGUCACAGGAACCCGUGCUUCGGGUGUGACCAAGUACGUAUGGUCACAGCAGGCUGCGUCAUUAUGAGGAUGGUUACUGAAGUUAAAUAGUGUGUGUCGGUUCAGGAGAACACUGACACACAACUGGACAGUGAAACCACGCAGAGGGAAGCGCUGUUGCAAACACCAGCAGUUGGGCUGAGUGUGUGUAGUGCGUGAAGGAAAGGACUCCCCACCCACGGGGAGGAGAGGAUUGCCAGCUAGCUCCACAGCUGAAGUGAUCAACAAGGAAUAGAGCCCUUGAUUUUUAGCCGGGUGUAUCACAGCCCAGAACAAGAGUCAUUUCUGAGCCACUCCGAGAGCCACAGCUCUGAACUACUUGGAACCUGCCCAUCCAUUUAGUUGGCAGAGAUUUGUUAGGUGGAAGUCGUGCUUGCACUGCCUCUGCGAUGCUACCGCGGGUUUCUGUUUCCCAGUCCCCUGCCCCAGUACAAAACUGCCUUAUGAUUUCGGUGGCUUUCCAGUGGCUAUAGGACCAUCUGCAUGGGCGGCCUCAGUCUGUUGGGCUGUUCUCAAAGGAGUCAUUGACUGUUUCUUCAGUCCUCCCACUGGUCCUCGAAGCCAUAACCAAACCUGUGCUAAAUUCCGUUCUGAUUUAACUAGCUAAAGUGAAUUCUGUUUCCAGCAAGUGAGCUCUGACCAUACAAAGUUUGGAAUUUAGACGUGGGCUGCUGCCCUAAAAGAUGUUAAUGGACACUUCCUUGAUUUAGCAGUCCAAGCAGCUGGUGACAAGGGCAGGUCUAACAGUGUGGGAGGCUGGAAACCCUUGUCAUUGGGCGUCCGAGUAUUUGAUGGUCGCCUACAGGGCCCUGCGGGGCAGAUUGCAUACUGCGGGAGCCUCUAGUGGCAGGUUCAAGGGUGGACAACUUCAUAAUGCUGUAGGCUGGUUGCUUCUGCUACUUUCAGCGAAGUUUUACCAGAGAAAGAUGAACUACAUGUACAUCUGCAAAAAUAAAUGAAAAGAACGUGUCUGUUAAGGAAAGGACAGCAAUCUAAAGCUCCAGCAGAGUGUCUCACCUGCGGCAGGGAAGCCAAAAUAUUUGUGACCCUAAUAAUUUGGUGCCUUGCAGUGUUGAAAAAGCCAGUUGUGUCUGUACUUUCUCACUUAAGAGUUAUAAGAGUUUGCUCUGGGCAGCCCUGGUGGCGCAGUGGUUUGGUGCCGCCUGCAGCCUGGGGUGUGAUCCUGGAGACCUGGGAUCGAGUCCCAAUCGGGCUCCCUGCAUGGAGCCUGCUUCUCCCUCUCCCUGUGUCUCUGCCUCUCUCUGUGUGUCUAUGAAUAAAUAAAAAAAAAUCUUUAAAAAAAAAAGUUUGCUCUGAAGGAGCGAGCACUGUCGCCCCAACUAUUUACAAGCACCUCCCAAAAAAGCAUUGGGAGCUGGACGUGAGAACCGGCCCAGCAGCGGAGAUGAGGCUGGGGUGUUGCCCUCCCCCGCAGGAGCCUCGUUUCAGCACGUGGUGGUGGCCACCUGCACUAAUUUGCUAGGGCUGCUCUCACAAAGUAGUGCAAACGGAGUGGCUUGAUCAGAAUUUGUUGUUUUACAUUUUAGAGGCUAGAAGUUCAAGGCAUCAGCCGGGUUGGUUUCUUCUGAGAGCAGUAAGGAAAAAUCUGUUCCAUGGCUCUCCCCUAGCUUCUGGUGCUUUACUGGCAACCUCUGGCAUUCCCUGGCUUGCGGAUGCAUCACCGAGAUCUCUACCUUCCUCUUCAAGUGACCUUCUCCAUGUAUCCACGUCUGUGUUCAAAUGUCCCCUUUUUACCAGACCAGUCAUCCUGAACCAGGGCUCACACCCUAAUGAUGUCGUUUUAACUUGUCUCCAAAUUGAUUGUCUCCAAAUAAGGUCACAUUCUGACGUACUAGGGGGUCAAGAAUCAAGCAUGUCUUUUUUGGGAGGGACAUAAUUCAACCGUAAACACCACCAUUAAGUCAAAAAGAGACUGUGCACAUCAUAGCAGCUCAUAAUUAAAACUAGGUAUUCAGAUUUUAAUAUCUAUUUAAAUUUAAUAUAAUUUAGAUAAUAUAUAAUUAAUAUCUUGUAUAUUUGUAUAUACUGCCUAGAUGAGUUCUUUGGGUUCUUGAUGAGUUCUAGAUGUCCCUAUAGCUAUUGGAGAUAUUCUCACACUGGAAGCUUAUCGAGUUGAGGAGGAAGCUCUUUGCCGCAGAAACGGUCACCCUGGCUUGCCAGAGCUUGGCUGUCAGCACAAAGCAAACCUAAGUAGCCAUACCUGCUACCUAGCCUCCUGCCACAGAAAAAAGCAGGAUGUGUAAGUUUUACAGCCUCCAGAAAGGAAGCCUCUCCAAUGGCCAGUUCAGAUGCGGUCACGGAGUCUCCCGGGUAAGGAGGAGCCUCCAAGAGAACAAAGCCAGGGGUCAUGGAUACACGAGAGGAGCCAGAGGCCAACCUGGAAAAUUGCAGCUAAGUCUCUAGCCAGGGCCGCGGGCCUGGAGACUCCCACCGGGCACUAUAUUUUUCUGCACUUUCUGUUAUAGCCGUCCUGUUCCUACUCUGCCUCUGGGUGGUGCACACCUCUGUGCCUGUGUGUGGCUGUCGUUGGACACACGGGGGUAACUCACCUGGCACUUCCUGGGUCACUUGUGCACAUCUGGACUCGCUGGGGAGGACUUGGAAUCGCUCAGAGGCCCUGGCCUUGAACAGGUGCAGUCUCCAAUGGGACUUGGAGGUCUUCCCUCGUAGGUAAGCCACGAAUUACUCUGGGGAAAAGGGCGUUUGCGGGUCUCAUAGAUAAAAACAGUCCCCAGCAGAUGCUAGCCGUCCUCCAGUGCUGCUCUCCCCCUUUCUCUUAAUCUUUGGUGGUGGAACCUGUGAUUUUUUACUGGCGCUCAAGAGCCUCCGAAUAAAGGCUAUGUCCAAGCCUCCCGCGCAGCUGUGGCUCAGCUGUGAGGCAGUUCUCGCCAGUCAGGUCUGUGUUGAGCUAUCGGACGGCGGGAGGCCGUGGAGGAAGCCAUGGAGGAGGCUGAGGAGGCCGGGCACAGCGCUGCCUGCGGUAGCUCCCCGGGGGAGGCGGCCUUGGCGAGCCUGGCGGAGGCCAAGGGCUUUUACAGCCGCAGCCUCCCAAACGGCAGGUACGUCCUGAAUCUAGAAGAGGCAGCGGGGCCCGUGGUGGCCCCAUUUUCCAGUGUGAGGCCCGAAUCUGUGUUCAGGAGCAAAUUCCUUUUGUAUGUAAAAGAGCAGAGAGAUCGUGUUUACUGCAGCUGAACGUGUUCAAUACUGAUUGAAAUUUUAUUUUUCUCAUUUUAUGGAUGAACAGACUAAGGCUUAGGGCCGGGAGUAAGCCAGCAAACCUCCUCUCUGUGGGGAAGGAAGGGCCCCGUUUGUGGCAUUUGCCAGCAUCUGUGCUACCGUGGCGUGUGUGAGCCUCAAAGGGUUGAAACACUUGUAGGCAAAACUCCUGAACAUUGAACAACUGGCUCCCAUUAGCUGCCUCCUGCUCCAAGCCGACGCUGCUUGGAGAACGUAACUGUCCCCAGGAACCACAUCAGCAAGUAUUCAAUAAAAAGAUUAAAAAUAUGUGGUACUUAUUCUGCCUGAAAAAUCAUUAUGCCUUGUUGAGAGCAUUUGGGGCUCCACCUCAGUACUGAACAGAAUUUACAGCACAUGGUAGGUUCCACGUCUUCACUUCAGAGACUUCGCUAGGGAGCUUUGAGGCAGUAGUGGAGGACAGAGUAUCUAAAAGCUUUUGGUAGAAUUUGGAUGGGCAGUCAUUGCCAUUAUUGUUACAUGCACGGGACAAAAGGGAUUUAAACAGCCUGAAACUGUCAAAGUGGCAGAUGGGACUUAAGAAGGGAGGGAAAUAAUUCAUAAAUUGGUAUGUGGAAAGUUGAUGCUCCUUAAUCAAAACUGCAGUGUGGUCUCACGUCACACCUGUCAGAAAGGCUAGACUCAGCAACACAAGAAACACAGGUGUUGGAGAUGAUGUGAGAAAGGGGAGCCCUCCUGCUCUGUUGGUGGGAACGCAAACGGGCGCAGCCACUCUGGAGAACGGUGUGGAGGCUCCUCAAGAAGUUGCAAAUAGAGCCACUGUAGGGUACAGAAAUCACACUACUGGGUGUUUACCCACAGGAUACAAAAACAGUAAUUCAAAGGGAUACAUGGACCCCUGUGUUCACUGCAGCAUGAUUUACAAUGGCCAAGAUACAGAAGCAGCCCAAGUGUCCAUUGACUGAUGAAUGAAGAUGAGCAUAAUGGAACACACACACACACUGGAUUAUUAUUCAGCCAUUUUAAAAAAGAAUGAAAUCUUGCCAUUUGCAAUGACACGAAUGGACCUGAAGAGUAUUAUGCUAAGUGAAAUAAGUCCAAAAGACAAACACCAUAUGAUUUUACUCAUAUGUGGAAUUUAAGAAACAAAACAAAUGAGCAAAGGGUGAAAAAAGGUGCAAAGCAAGAAAUAGACUCCUAAAUGCCCCUGCUGGUUACCAGAGUGGGGUGGGGGUGGGAUGGGAGUGAAACAGGUGGUGGGGAUGAGGAGAGCACUUGCUGUGAUGAGCACCGGGUGAUGUGGGGAA